GCCAGGUGUGGUGGCGCACGCCUGUAAUCCCAGCUAUCAGGAGGCUGAGGCAGCAGAAUUGCUUGAACCUGGGAGGUGGAGGUUGCAGUGAGACGAGAUUGAGCCACUGCACUCCAGCCUGGGUGACAGAGCAAGACUCUGUCUCAA
rnacentral:SRP_RNA from 1 species